rnacentral:lncRNA from 1 species
GCUAGUAUAUCUAUAUAUAUUUUUAAGUGAAGCUCAUCUGCGAUAAACUUUUCAGAGAUAUGAUAGUUGUAUCUCGGAAUUUAGUCGCAAUAUUUUUAAACUCUCGCAGCGUAUUGCAAAAAGUAAAUAAUUUUUAGUAAAAGUUGUUUGUAUUUAACCCCUAAACUAAAUUUUUGCUUAAUAUUAACUGUACGAUUUUUAUUACUUAUUUCAAAUAUUUAGCUCGAGUUCCAAUCUCAUUUCCGUAGAUUUUUACACAGAGUAUAAAGUUUUCUUCCUAAUAUAUAUUAUAUUUUUCUCGAUUUUUUAGAGUCACUGGGCUACCUUUGAAUGAACACAACUUACCAAUGAUGCUGCCAAACGGCCAAAUAUUUGGGCAGUUGGCUGUACCUGAAAUAACUAGAGAGGACGGUGCUGUAGUUUGUCCUAUUACAAAUACAAAAUUCUCAAGCCCAAAAGUUGAAAAGGUUUUUGUAAUGUAAGAAAUUAAAAUCUUGAUAUAUAUUUAGCAUAUACUGUAAUUAAUAAUAAAAGUAUAUUAUGCGUGAAAAUAUGCCGCGUAAGGGAUGCAUUCAUUUAA